rnacentral:piRNA from 1 species
UAUUUGUAGGCAAAGCAGAUCUCAC